rnacentral:piRNA from 1 species
UGGCAAUGCCUGCCUGAUGUUGGGUAU